ensembl:lncRNA
GUUUUGAUUCACGGAUGUUUAUUUUAUAGUUAUUGCUUUAUUGGUAAGUUAAUCAGGAAAGAAAUGUAGAAGUGAGUGAAGAAAAAGAGGGCUGAAUCUGGACCAAUGAUGAUGACUGGUGGCGUACGAGUCAUGAACGAUGAAUGCUACGUGUCUGGAAGUCUGAGGUCCAAGAUAAAACAAAAUCUAGUGUUUCUUCUCUCACAAGUGACCCCGUGGAUCCAUGCUAGGAAUAUUCAAGGAUAUUGUUCUUGUAAUCUUGGAUUCAUAGAUUUCUAUAUUAUUAAUAUAAAUGGAUCAAUGGUAGAACCAAUAAAUAUAUAAAUUAAAAAAACAAAGAUGAAGCCUUGUCUGCCUAUGAAUAUGUGUGGUGAGGCAAGAUAUAUUAUUAAUAUAAGCUGAUGCAUGUUAAGAAAUAAAUGUACCAACGGUGUUACCUCUUUUUCUAAGGAUCAUAUCAUACUUAUAUUUAUGCUUAUAUAUGUAUCUAAAUUAUGAAAAAUAAUAAAUACCUUUAUGACUGAGUAAACAAAAUGAGCAAAACAAGGACCAAUUUAGAAGACGGUCUCAAGUUUCUAUAUCAUCUGCUCUGCUCUGUACUCCUCAGAUGGAUGCUCUCGAGUGGGUUUAAGCAUCUUCUAUGAUCACAUGCUCGACAGUUGCCUCUGUGUAAUGAGUAUAGAGACCAGUAAUGGACACCUGAACUUAUUUAAGCAUUUGGCCAUGAUCAGGAGCUCCAUGUAUGCCCCCGUGCACGAGCGUGGAGACCAGUAAUGGAGGCGAGAGCUUCUGUCACGAUCAAGAUCUUCAUGUUGCCUCUGUUGGAAAGAGACCAAGGGACAUACUGGAGCUGAUGGAAGAAUUCUUUCACGGCUGCACCCUCUUUGUUGGCUCUGUGUGUUAGGUGCAUGGAGCACAACGUGAGUAAUAAAGAUCGUGUCUUCAUUUGACAGGUUUUUUAAUAAGGGCACUUGCUGUAUUAUUAAAAGUGUGAAUAUUAUUCAAAAGGCCAACCAUGGCCAAUGAUACUUAUGGGAUUAUUACCAAGUGUUAUAUUUAUUAAUCCAUCUAAGAUAGAUUAAGGAUAAUUAAUGAAAGAGAUAUAUCAAUGUGAUAAAUGAUUCUCUAGGCAGAUGUAGAAUAUUCAAGGUUCUUAUUCUUCAUUUUUUUGUGUGAAUUAUAGGGUUUUAAAAUUAAUAUUAGUAAAUUAAGGAAUUAAUCAGUGAAAUAAUAUAUAAGAGAAUGGAGAAAAAGAGGCGAAAAUAUGGACCAAUGCUGACGACUGGUGGCAUAGGAGUCACGGAUGAUGAAUACUAUAUGUUUUGAACUCUGAGGUCCAACACAAAAGGAAGUGUAGUUUAUUGCCUCUGUUUGAAGUGAUCCUAUAGACUGAUUUUGGGAAUGUAAAAGGAUCGUUUUCUUAGCUGGUCUUCAUGGAUUUUGAUUCUCUUGUCAUAAAUGAUCGAUUUAAGAAUCAGUGUACAAAUAUAAAAAAGUACAGGUGAAGAGCAUGCAGCAUAUGCACUCUUCAUAUAUGUGGUGAGGCAAUGAGACAAUUAAAAUGUGCUGAAAAUACUGAACAGUGGAGAUGAUGCCUCAAUCCUCUUAUCCUCUGCUUUGCCUUUUACGUCUUAG